UAGUUGUCAGAGUACAGUACUGUUUUCAGUAUCUGUGCUGUCAGGCUGUAAAGUUCCACGGGAGACAGACCAAUCUCUGUCACCUUUGUCACCUUUUUCCAGCUUGUCCUCGUCCAUCCCACCAUGAACGCAAGUCGACGCCACACCAUUCCAUUUUGUUGCGAGCACGUUCUUUACAUUUCUGGCCGAAGGGGUCUAACAGAUUCUUUUGUUACUGCCAAAGCCAGUGUCCAUUGUUCCUGUGAGGCUGGGCUGGGUUUGUCUGCCUCUCUGUUCUUGGAGAGUUUUUGCAUGGGCUUUCUUUACGCCAUGAGGAUACAUUUUCAGCCUCAUAACCAUAUACAUGAAAUUAUAACCUAUAACCUUACUAUAACAUUACUGUAACAAUUACUAUAACAACCAUGGUCAGUGCAUCAUGAGCCUUCCAAAGACACCCAACAUGAUAAAGUUUGCAUUGGAUACAACAGAAUCAUUUUAUAAAUAUGAACAUUAGGGUGUAGGGUGUGUGUCCGUCUCCGUCCGUCCCCCCCCCGAAGUACAGAGCAUCACACCCUCAGUUUGAACCAGACUUGUGAAAUUGGCAAUUACAGGGAUCACAGAAAAAGAAGAUCUUGAAUGGAUGAGGUGGAAACCUGGGUGGAUCAAAAGGACCAUUCCUCCACAAAUCGAUUAGCAGAGGACCAUACAGAAUGAGCCACCAUGACUGGCAACCUCCUGUGAUGGAGAUGCCACCAAAGAAAAAGAAAAAGGAAUUCACUGUUGAUUGCUGAAUUUCCUGGCUUUUUGAGUUUAAAUCCCAAUCUUAACUAUCGACUGAUGAAGGCUUUUAUUAAUGAGUGUCCAUGUUAUUUUCUAAGGUAAGAGAAACCAGAGCAGGAGCCGGGAGAGCUGAGACCUUGCAUAUAUCUAAGGCCUUGUCUAGACUGCCAAGGUUUUUUGCCAAAAGGCAGCUUUUGGCGACAAAACAGUGGACGUGUAUACACUGCAAUGCCACCUUUGGUGACAAAACUCCUCAGUUUCGGUGACAAAAUAAAACCACCUCAACAAGAGUCAUAAGGCUUUUUACGCACAAGUUUUGUCACCAAAGUGCCAGUGUAGACAAUAUGCUUGAUUUUUUUCGCUGUAAUUGGCGUCCAGAAGGUGUCCCACAAUGCCCAUCAUGACUGCUGUGGUCAGCAAUUCCAACUCUGCUGCCCUGAAGCCAGAUAAGCAACUGUCCGUCCCUCUUCCUUUAAAGCCCCGGGAGUUUUUGAAAUUCCACUUCCUGUUUGCUCAUCUUCCCAGCUGACCAUGGUGGCUCCAUGCAGCAAACGCUCUCCCGCUUGGACUAAUGGGGACCUGACGGAUCUGCUCAGUAUUUGUGGAGAGGAGGCUGUGCAGUCCCAGCACUCCAGCCAUAGGAAUUUCGAUACUUAUGUGCAGAUUUCUCGAAGUGUGCGCAAAAAGGACGAUGAGUGGGACACACUGCAGUGCAUAGCAAAGAUCAAGGAGAUGAGGCAGGUGUAACAGAAGGCAAGGAAGGCCUAUCAUUUUUAUAAGGAGUUGGAUGCUAUCCUCGGCUACGACCCCACCUCCACAGCCAAGAGCCCCAUAGAUACUUCGGCGGGGCUGGAGCCGGCAGAAAGUGGACCUAGCUCUGAGGACCAAGUAAUUGAUGAAGAGGUGGAGGAGGAUGUAGAGACCAUGCAGGAUUGCCCAGUGGUUCGUCCAGUCAGGAGCUGUUCUCCACCCCAGGGGUGUCUAGCCAGUCUUGGCAGUUGCAAUUCGGCAAGCAAGAAGCAGGAGAGGAGACCACAGACUCCUGUCCCCGACCAGACGAGGGUCUUCACGAUCAGGUUCCCCAUCCAGGGAUCGGAGACGGAAGGGAUUGGAGCUGAGUCCAAGAGAGCAAGAGGACUGUGAGAGACAGCAAGAGCCAGAGAAAGAGCUGCAGGAGAAGCAGCAGCAGCAUGAACUGGCGAUGGUGGAGCGGAGAGGCAUAGGGGACCUCCCAGGGAUGUAACCUUGAAAGGUACUCCUACACACCAGCCGAGCACCUCCACUGGAUAAGAAAGUGCCCAAGAUGGAGCAAGGAUGACAUGUUCCAGGAGGUGAUGCAAUGCUCGGAUUCCAAAAACAGGGAACAUGGACCCUGGAGGGAAAUCGAAAGGCAGGACAGAUGAGAAAAUGAAGCCUACGCUAGGGACCCAACAGAGAGGAUGAUUAAAGUUAUGGAGAAGCAAACUGAGAUGCUACAGUGCCCCAUAACACUCCAGACUGAGCAGAUGCAUGCCUGCUCUCCCCUUCAGCACAUUCAGAACUCUUUCCCAUGUCCUUCCCAAACUCCACUCACAAGUUCCUUUCCACUGUCUGGGGCUUCUCGCUAUCCCAUUCACUCCACCUCCACAAAUGAUAGCUGGACUUACGCAUGGUUCUGAAAGUUGGCCCUCCCCUGAUACCUCCUCUCCCCACAAGAAUUUCUGUGUGUGUGUUUG